rnacentral:rRNA from 1 species
UGGGGAAUUUUGGACAAUGGGCGCAAGCCUGAUCCAGCCAUGCCGCGUGCAGGAUGAAGGCCUUCGGGUUGUAAACUGCUUUUGUACGGAACGAAAAGGUGCCUUCUAAUAAAGGGCGCUCAUGACGGUACCGUAAGAAUAAGCACCGGCUAACUACGUGCCAGCAGCCGCGGUAAUACGUAGGGUGCGAGCGUUAAUCGGAAUUACUGGGCGUAAAGCGUGCGCAGGCGGUUUUGUAAGACAGAGGUGAAAUCCCCGGGCUCAACCUGGGAACUGCCUUUGUGACUGCAAAGCUGGAGUGCGGCAGAGGGGGAUGGAAUUCCGCGUGUAGCAGUGAAAUGCGUAGAUAUGCGGAGGAACACCGGUGGCGAAGGCAAUCCCCUGGCCUGCACUGACGCUCAUGCACGAAAGCGUGGGGAGCAAACA